rnacentral:rRNA from 1 species
CCUACGGGAUGCAGCAGGCGCGAAAACUUUACCAUGCGGGCAACCGUGAUAAGGAAACCCCGAGUGCCAGCAUAGGCUGGCUGUCCGCCAGUUUAAAAAACUGGUGAAGAAAGGGCCGGGCAAGACCGGUGCCAGCCGCCGCGGUAAUACCGGCGGCUCGAGUGGUGGCCACUAUUACUGGGCUUAAAGGGUCCGUAGCUUGAUAUGCAAGUCUUUUGAGAAAUCCGCCAGCUUAACUGGCGGGCGUUCAGGGGAAACUGCAUUUCUUGGGACCGGGAGAGGUGAGAGGUACUGCCGGGGUAGGAGUGAAAUCCUGUAAUCCCGGUGGGACCACCUAUAGCGAAGGCAUCUCACCAGAACGGGUCCGACAGUGAGGGACGAAAGCUGGGGGAGCAAACCGGAUUAGAUACCCGUGUAGUCC